UACUUAGCCUUGUCCCUACCUGUUUACUUCCUUAGGCAGUAAUUCUUUUUCUUCUUCUUCUUUUUUUUUUUCUUCAGUGUAACAGUAUCAGAUGAGCCAAGACUGUUUGAAACUAUUUGGAUACUGUACUCUGGUUCCCUCAUCUACUCCAGCUACAUCAGCCUAAAUUGUCCUACCUGUCUUCUGUUAUAGGAGCCUCUGCCAUGAUCCCAGGGAUAAGUGAGGAAAGAAAUCUUUCCUCCUUCACAGUAUCAAGUGCCAGGCCAGAGCUCACUGUGAAAAAAGAUUAAGGUCCAAGGAUGGCAGGAGGAAGGACCCUAAUGAAGAGGUUCAUCUGAUUGGUUUACCGGAGUCCUCUGUGGAAUGAAUAGCUUCAUCCUUGGCGUUUCCACCUCUGCUGUCCACUCCAAUCAAGAACCGGGGCCCUCGCAACUCUCUCAGUUCUGAAACAAAUUAAAUCUCAGUGACAGAC